UCGAACGGUAACAGGCCUUCGGGCGCUGACGAGUGGCGGACGGGUGAGUAACGCGUAGGAAUCUGCCUUAUAGUGGGGGACAACGUGGGGAAACCCACGCUAAUACCGCAUACGCCCUACGGGGGAAAGGAGGGGAUCUUCGGACCUUUCGCUAUGAGAUGAGCCUGCGUUAGAUUAGCUAGUUGGUAGGGUAAAGGCCUACCAAGGCGACGAUCUAUAGCUGGUCUGAGAGGACGAUCAGCCACACUGGGACUGAGACACGGCCCAGACUCCUACGGGAGGCAGCAGUGGGGAAUAUUGGACAAUGGGCGAAAGCCUGAUCCAGCAAUACCGCGUGUGUGAAGAAGGCCUUAGGGUUGUAAAGCACUUUCAAUUGGGAGGAAAACCUGUCGGUCAAUACCCCGGCAGCUUGACAUUACCUUUAGAAGAAGCACCGGCUAACUCCGUGCCAGCAGCCGCGGUAAUACGGAGGGUGCGAGCGUUAAUCGGAAUUACUGGGCGUAAAGCGUGCGUAGGCGGUUCGUUAAGUCAGAUGUGAAAGCCCUGGGCUCAACCUGGGAAACUGCAUUUGAAACUGGCGGACUAGAGUUUAGUAGAGGGGAGUGGAAUUUCAGGUGUAGCGGUGAAAUGCGUAGAUAUCUGAAGGAACACCAAUGGCGAAGGCGACUCCCUGGACUAGAACUGACGCUGAGGUACGAAAGCGUGGGUAGCAAACAGGAUUAGAUACCCUGGUAGUCCACGCCGUAAACGAUGUCGACUAGCCG
rnacentral:rRNA from 1 species